AACGAACGCUGGCGGCAGGCCUAACACAUGCAAGUCGAACGCCCCGCAAGGGGAGUGGCAGACGGGUGAGUAACGCGUGGGAACCUACCCAGAGGUGCGGAAUAGCCCAGGGAAACUUGGAGUAAUACCGCAUAAGCCCGAGAGGGGAAAGAUUUAUCGCCUUUGGAUGGGCCCGCGUCUGAUUAGCUAGUUGGUGAGGUAAUGGCUCACCAAGGCGACGAUCAGUAGCUGGUCUUAGAGGAUGAUCAGCCACACUGGGACUGAGACACGGCCCAGACUCCUACGGGAGGCAGCAGUGGGGAAUAUUGGACAAUGGGCGCAAGCCUGAUCCAGCCAUGCCGCGUGAGUGACGAAGGCCUUAGGGUUGUAAAGCUCUUUUGGCGGGGACGAUAAUGACGGUACCCGCAGAAUAAGCCCCGGCUAACUUCGUG
rnacentral:rRNA from 1 species